AUUGAACGCUGGCGGCAUGCCUUACACAUGCAAGUCGGACGAGUGGCGGACGGGUGAGUAACGCAUCGGAACGUACCGGGUAAUGGGGGAUAACUGUCCGAAAGGGUAGCUAAUACCGCAUAUUAUUCGAGCGGCCGAUGUGUGAUUAGCUGGUGGGCGGGGUAAAGGCCCACCAAGGCGACGAUCCGUAGAUGGUCUGAGAGGAUGAUCCGCCACACUGGGACUGAGACACGGCCCAGACUCCUACGGGAGGCAGCAGUGGGGAAUUUUGGACAAUGGGCGCAAGCCUGAUCCAGCCAUGCCGCGUGUCUGAAGAAGGCCUUCGGGUUGUAAAGGACUUUUGUCAGGGAAGCGGUACCUGAAGAAUAAGCACCGGCUAACUACGUGCCAGCAGCCGCGGUAAUAC
rnacentral:rRNA from 1 species